GACAGAGGCCUCGAGCGUUAGGCGGAAUCACUGGGCUUAAAGCGUGUGUAGGCGGAUGCCUAAGUACCUUGUGAAAUCCCACGGCUCACCCGUGGAACCGCUGGGUAUACUGGGCAUCUUGGGCCAUUCAGGGGCAACUGGAACAAGCGGUGGAGCGGUGAAAUGCGUAGAUAUCGCUUGGAACGCCAACGGUGAAAACAGGUUGCUGGGAAUGUGCCGACGCUGAGACACGAAAGCCAGGGGAGCAAACGGG
rnacentral:rRNA from 1 species